rnacentral:lncRNA from 1 species
UUCAAGCAUACAUGACAUUGGACUAUUCUGGCUCAGAAGAACCUGGAGCACUUGUCACCAAUCCCAGAAGGAGUAAUUACUAGAUUUUGCAAAGGAUGAAGUUGAGGGUGAUGAGGAUGAUGAUAGUUCAAGUGGGAAAUAGUGGUUGACAUUAUGAUAUAGAGAAUGGAGCAAAAGCAGAUUGUAUACUGGUCAGAAUGAAGAUGACUUGAGAUGAAAAGACUAAACAAUAACUAAUAGAUGUUGAAGAAAAGUCCAGCUGCAAACUGUUCAAGACAUACAGUAAGGAUGUGGAUCUGUGGUAACUUAAGGUAA